GACGAACGCUGGCGGCGUGCUUAACACAUGCAAGUCGAACGCUGAACCCGCUUCGGUGGGGGAUGAGUGGCGAACGGGUGAGUAACACGUGGGCAACCUGCCCCCGGCUCUGGGAUAACUCCAAGAAAUUGGGGCUAAUACCGGAUGUUACCGCUGGCCGCAUGGUCUGGUGGUGGAAAGGGUUUCCGGCUGGGGAUGGGCCCGCGGCCUAUCAGCUUGUUGGUGGGGUAGUGGCCUACCAAGGCGACGACGGGUAGCCGGCCUGAGAGGGUGACCGGCCACACUGGGACUGAGACACGGCCCAGACUCCUACGGGAGGCAGCAGUGGGGAAUAUUGCGCAAUGGGCGGAAGCCUGACGCAGCGACGCCGCGUGGGGGAUGACGGCCUUCGGGUUGUAAACCUCUUUCAGCAGGGACGAAGCGCAAGUGACGGUACCUGCAGAAGAAGCACCGGCCAACUACGUG
rnacentral:rRNA from 1 species